rnacentral:lncRNA from 10 species
AAAAAGUGAGGCACAACUCUAUUAAAUGCCUUGUCUAAGGUCAACAAGUCCGUUAGGGUUGGAACUAACUGACGACAGACGAAGCCGUCCUAACCCCUGAAAUCUACAAGUAGUCCAGGAAGAGGGGGAGAAGAUCCCUUUAGGUGUGAAGGAAGAAUGGACUGGAAAGUAGAGACCCUGAGAUCCAGGACGGAAGGAGGGAAGAGGCUCGCUUGACUGUCAUAAGCUUCAUUUUGCUGAAACAGACCCCAGAAAGGGCAGUGAUGAGAGAUGAGGCCACAAUACAGAUAUCCAAUUAUUUCAGCAUCACUUGCUAAAAAUACUUUCCUUUCGUCUUUGGAUUCCACUGGCAACUUUAUUGAAAAAUCAGAUAACUAUAUGGAGUCUUUCUCUGUCACCCAGGCUGGAGUAUUGUGGAAUCUGGUCAGCAGCCCACAGUGCAACGUGGCUCUCUCUUUG